UGGCGGCGUGGAUAAGACAUGCAAGUCGAACGGGACUUUCAGUGUAGCAAUACAUUGAAAGUUCAGUGGCGUAAGGGUGCGUAACACGUGGGAAAUCUGCCGAGAAGUGGGGGAUAGCUCGCCGAAAGGCGAAUUAAUACCGCAUGUGGUCAGCGAAGACAUCUUCGCGAAACCAAAGCCGGGGCAACCUGGCGCUUCUUGAUGAUCCCGCGGCCUAUCAGCUAGUUGGCGGGGUAAAAGCCCACCAAGGCUAUGACGGGUAGCUGGUCUGAGAGGACGACCAGCCACACUGGAACUGAGACACGGUCCAGACACCUACGGGUGGCAGCAGUCGAGAAUUUUUCUCAAUGGGGGAAACCCUGAAGGAGCGACGCCGCGUGGAGGUUAAGGUCUUCGGAUUGUAAACUCCUGUCAUGCGAGAACAAAACCCGCAAGGGCGUGAUAGUAUCGCAAGAGGAAGAGACGGCUAACUCUGUGCCAGCAGCCGCGGUAAUACAGAGGUCUCAAGCGUUGUUCGGAAUUACUGGGCGUAAAGGGUGCGCAGGCUGCGCGGCAAGUCAAAAGUGAAAUUCAGGGGCUCAACCUCUGCAUUGCGCUUGAUACUUCCGUGCUCGAGCUUUGGAGAGGAGUCUGGAAUUCUCGGUGUAGCAGUGAAAUGCGUGGAUAUCGAGAAGAACACUUAGGGCGUAGGCAAGACUCUGGACAAAUGCUGACGCUCAUGCACGAAG
rnacentral:rRNA from 1 species